rnacentral:lncRNA from 1 species
CACAAAUUUCAUAAAUCACAACUUAUUACAUGAUCACAAAUUAUCAAAUAUUUUUGUCACAAAUAACAAAUUUUUAGAUCACGUAUUAUUUAUUUAUUACAGUUAUUCUACUUCAUGGGUCACAUAUUGUUUAUUAGUUACAACUAACCAAAUAAUUUGUAACACAACUUCAACCAGUCGUACUGUCACUUGAACCACCACCACCACCUUUCGACAGCAACACCACCAUCUCAAACAAACCAACACCCACCACAAAAAACUACUACAACUUUACAACCACUGUGAUGACAGGACCACGGCCAGCACUACCACCAUCGCCUGCAUCAUCACUACCACGAACGUAGCCUAACAGUGUCACUACCACCCAAAAUCACUACACAACCACCGCAAAACACACCAACCACAAAAAACCACCUGCAAACACCACCAUACCACAAAACACAACCAAUUGGAACGGGAUCUAAAUCCUCCACCGUCUCCGACACCAAAUUUCUCUCUAACGAGCAGCGGUAGCGUCUCCGAACCUACCAUUGCUAUGCCGCCAUCACCAUUAUCACACACCGUAACCCACAUCUCCACCACACUGUCAUGGGAGGAGCAAUUGGGAAAAAAGGAGAAGAACUAGCCAUGGAUGGAAAAACCAGAAAUCAGAAGUGGAGAAAGAAGAAAGAAUUAACAGUAGUAACCGAAAUUCAAGUCCAAAACGACGGCAUUUGGUUUAAGAAAAAAUGACUCCGUUUUGCUUUAUUUUAAUUAAAUAAAUUGUAAUAGGAAUUGAAGAAAUAUUUUUAUUAUUAUUAUUAUUUUUAUUAUUAUUUUUAUUUUUAUUUUUAUUUUUGGCUUUCAAAAUGCGACUUGAAUUGUACUGGACAGAUAUAGAUACAGCCAUGUGCGAGGUGGAGGUCAUUCGUCAAUUUCUGAAUUUUUAGUUGCUAAUUGAAAGGAUAUUCUUUUCUCACCUCCCAUCCUUCUUUUUUUUUUCCCAUCAUUUUCACCAUCCCCAAUUCUGUUUUACUUUAAUUUUGGUUACAAGUUCUAUUGAUUCAGCCGGGGAGAGUUCCAUAGUUGAGCUGUGAAGCUGGAGGUUGUGGAUUGAGGUUCAUUCCAUGACAAAUUGGUAUUACAGCUGGCGCAUA